rnacentral:rRNA from 1 species
GACGAACGCUGGCGGCGUGCUUAACACAUGCAAGUCGAGCGGUAAGGCCCUUUCGGGGGUACGACGAGCGGCGAACGGGUGAGUAACACGUGGGUGACCUGCCCUCAGCUCUGGGAUAAGCCUGGGAAACUGGGUCUAAUACUGGAUAUGACUCCACGGUGCAUGUCGUGGGGUGGAAAGCCUUGUGCGGCUGAGGAUGGGCCCGCGGCCUAUCAGCUUGUUGGUGGGGUGANGGCCUACCAAGGCGACGACGGGUAGCCGGCCUGAGAGGGCGACCGGCCACACUGGGACUGAGACACGGCCCAGACUCCUACGGGAGGCAGCAGUGGGGAAUCUUGCGCAAUGGGCGAAAGCCUGACGCAGCGACGCCGCGUGAGGGAUGACGGCCUCGGUUGUAAC